UAGGGAUAGUUGGGGGCAUUUGUAUUCCGUCGUCAGAGGUGAAAUUCUUGGAUUGCCGGAAGACAAACUACUGCGAAAGCAUUUGCCAAGGAUGUUUUCAUUGAUCAAGAACGAAGGAAGGGGGAUCGAAAACGAUUAGAUACCGUUGUAGUCUCUUCUGUAAACUAUGCCAAUUGGGGAUCGGUACAGGAUUUUUAAUGACUGUAUCGGCACCCGAAGAGAAAUCUUUAAAUGAGGUUCGGGGGGGAGUAUGGUCGCAAGGCUGAAACUUAAAGGAAUUGACGGAAGGGCACCACCAGGUGUGGAGCCUGCGGCUUAAUUUGACUCAACACGGGGAAACUCACCAGGUCCAGACACAAUAAGGAUUGACAGAUUGAUAGCUCUUUCUUGAUCUUGUGGUUGGUGGUGCAUGGCCGUUCUUAGUUGGUGGAGUGAUUUGUCUGGUUAAUUCCGAUAACGAACGAGACCUUAACCUGCUAAAUAGACCAGCCGGCUUUGGCUAGCUGCUGUCUUCUUAGAGGGACUAUCAGCGUUUAGCUGAUGGAAGUUUGAGGCAAUAACAGGUCUGUGAUGCCCUUAGAUGUUCUGGGCCGCACGCGCGCUACACUGACAGAGCCAGCGAGUCUACCA
rnacentral:rRNA from 1 species